rnacentral:rRNA from 1 species
UGGGGAAUAUUGGACAAUGGGCGAAAGCCUGAUCCAGCAAUACCGCGUGUGUGAAGAAGGCCUUCGGGUUGUAAAGCACUUUCAAUUGGGAGGAAAACCUGCCGGUCAAUACCCGGUAGCUUGACAUUACCUUUAGAAGAAGCACCGGCUAACUCCGUG